rnacentral:lncRNA from 1 species
UAAUAUAUGUAAUAUUAUAUAAAAUAUGAACCAUUAGCAAUAAACUUUAAUAUACUUAAUAAACUGUACUAUAUAAAUUAUAAACACAAUAAUACAUAAUAUUUUAUAUAUGUAUAUAAAAAAUAUUUACUGGUAAUCAUAAUAUAUUAAUAUUAUCACGACCUAGUACUCCCCUCGAGCCUGUGACAACCGCCGGGACGUCCCCGAUAGACAUUCAUUGCUCGGAAUGCUAUCUGGAACCUUGCAAGGCUUUAAUAUCAGUUUUCGCACCUCCCCUGUGAGCAACAGUUGUUAAGUAUCAUGUUUUGAGAGACUAUAAAUUAUUUCCAAAUCAAAACAAUAGAUAAAUAAAUUUUUUCUCACAGGGGCAUUUUGGUCAUUUUUCCUCAAAAAUCUUGAAACCAAGUAAAAAUGUAGUAUGUAAGUGGAAAACACAUAUUUCAUAAUAAAAAAUAAGUUUAGAUAUCUAAAACAUUCAUUUAAAGUGAAAUUAUAACUAUUUGAAUAUAAUAAAAAUAUUUAAUAAAAUAUUCUAUUUUCUUAUAAAACAAUAUUUAUAGAGUUACCGGUAAAUAAUUUUUGUAGCAUAAAAGCUAAAUAAAUUCAUACAUACUGUAAUACAGAUAACCAAAGCAUAAGAUUUAAUUUACAAUGACACAUGGGCCCACGAACGACUAAAAAUAUCAAAAGUGGUAAACCUACAAUUUUUAAGGAUGCAAGUCCAACUGUAGCCCUUAACGAAAUGAGCUAUCUACCGACCAUCCUGAGCCUGAAAUGGGACAAAAGAAGGGUGGUGAGAUUAUAUAAUCCCAGUGAGUAAACAAAUACCAUCUAAAAUAUCUAAAACUGAGUAAAUAGAGACAGAUAAAAUAGAUUAGCAUAAAAAUGAUUCACAGCAUUUUGAACUCAUUUUAAUAAGUUAAAAUAGAUUCAUUUCACCCAAAUAAACAAUGAGGCUUAUGAUUUCCUGAAAUGUUUGGCUCGUGCCAAAAUCAUUAUCAUACUCAAUUUUAGGGAUACCUUGGCCGAGGGCUAUCCCAACCGAGUCCACCAAGGCUGUUAAAAAGUCAUGUACGCAUAAAUCAUGUUUUUAUUUUGAAAACAUAGUUGUUCCUUGGCGUUGGCUGAGUUCACCCUCACGUGGUGAUUUAGCGUGAAGUGAACUUUAAAGUGUUAACCUCAGGAGUUAUCCAUCAGCGCCUCUCAUAUUGAGGUAAGAAUAUAAUAGGGUUACCGUGCCUCUCUAAUAGGCUGGUCCACGGAAUCCGUCCACUGCAGCGACCAAUUUAUAACCCACCAAUUCAACAAAAUUCAACAGCAUGACAUGGCAAUCCGAGUACUCCGAUUCUUGAUCCUCGAGUACUAUUUCUUUACUUUUGCCAGAAAGCUCACCACUUAGACAUAAUGCACAAUAAGCCAUUUACUACAUUUGUGAUAAACCGUUGUAAAACCAAUUCAGACUUUAUACUAAUGCAUGAAAUGGGAGUAAAAUACUCGAGUAACUAUCUAAAUACGAUGUUCAAUAUAAAUUCAAUUAUGUACCUAAAUAAAACGGUAUUGGCCUAAUUCGAUCUAUCACUUGAUUAAUUGGCCAAUAUGUCCAAUUCAACUUCAAUAAUUCCAUUUUUCUUCCAAUUCUCCAAACCAUCAAACACAAGUUAAAUAACUUGAAAUAUGGUAAAAUCAUCCCACAUUUUCUCUUGGAAAAUUCGGCCAUGGUGGGUGCUUCAACACUAUGAUUUUUUUCCUACUUGGUUUUCUCACCGUAAUUCAUCAUUUCCUAACCAAUUCACUUGAAAUAAAAUCAAAUCCACCAUCCACACUCUACAUGGAAAAUUCGGCCAAUGAUGGGUAAUGAGAGAACAUGAAUUUUUCUUGCUUGAUUUUCAUGCUACACAUCACCAAUCAACUAAAAACACUAGAAUAUCUUAAAAUCUAACCAAAACAACCAUCAAAAUCUCUCUCUAAGUGUUCGGCCAGCAAGAGAUUCAUCAUGAAAUCAUGUGAUUCAACCAUGAAAAAUAAGAAAAAAUGCUUAAGGAAGAGAGAUCUCAAGCUUAAUUGAAAAAUCUUACCUUUUUUUGACUUGUUUCCUUGAAUUUUCACACUUCCCUUGAAUUUUUCCACCUAGGGUUUUGUUCUUCCUUUUCUUCCUUUGUUCUUGCUUUGGCCGGCCAUAAGAAUGAGAAAUGGGCUGGUUUUGUGCUAAUUUAUAAGGAAAAUAAUAAAGAAAUAAAAGCUUAACACUUGUCACCUUACCAUUGGUCCAUUUUUAAAUUCUUAACUAUUAAGCUUUCUUUCUCCACCAC